AUUGAACGCUGGCGGCAUGCUUUACACAUGCAAGUCGAACGGUAACAGGCCGCAAGGUGCUGACGAGUGGCGAACGGGGGAGUAAUGCAUCGGAACGUGCCCAGUCGUGGGGGAUAACGCAGCGAAAGCUGCGCUAAUACCGCAUACGAGCUAUGGAUGAAAGCGGGGGACCGUAAGGCCGCGCGCGAUUGGAGCGGCCGAUGUCAGAUUAGGUAGCUGGUGGGGUAAAGGCUCACCAAGCCAACGAUCUGUAUCUGGUUUGAGAGGACGACCGGGCACACGGGGACCGAAGAACAGCCCAGACUCCGACGGGAGGCAGCAGUGGGGAAUAUUGGACAAUGGGCGAAAGCCUGAUCCAGCAAUGCCGCGUGGGUGAAGAAGGCCUUCGGGUUGUAAAGCCCUUUUGUACGGGAAGAAAAGCUGUCGGUUAAUACCCGGCGGUCAUGACGGUACCGUAAGAAUAAGCACCGGCUAACUUCGUGCCAGCAGCCGCAGUAAAAC
rnacentral:rRNA from 1 species